GAUGAACGCUGGCGGCGUGCUUAACACAUGCAAGUCGAACGAUGAAGCCGGAGCUUGCUCUGUGGAUUAGUGGCGAACGGGUGAGUAACACGUGAGUAACCUGCCCUUGACUCUGGGAUAAGCGCUGGAAACGGCGUCUAAUACCGGAUACGAGCUUCCACCGCAUGGUGAGUUGCUGGAAAGAAUUUCGGUCAAGGAUGGACUCGCGGCCUAUCAGCUUGUUGGUGAGGUAACGGCUCACCAAGGCGACGACGGGUAGCCGGCCUGAGAGGGUGACCGGCCACACUGGGACUGAGACACGGCCCAGACUCCUACGGGAGGCAGCAGUGGGGAAUAUUGCACAAUGGGCGCAAGCCUGAUGCAGCAACGCCGCGUGAGGGACGAAGGCCUUCGGGUCGUAAACCUCUUUUAGCAGGGAAGAAGCGAAAGUGACGGUACCUGCAGAAAAAGCACCGGCUAACUACGUGCCAGCCGCCGCAGUAA
rnacentral:rRNA from 1 species